rnacentral:rRNA from 1 species
UACGUAGGGCGCAAGCGUUAUCCGGAAUUAUUGGGCGUAAAAGAGCUCGUAGGCGGUUUUGUCGCGUCUGCCCGUGAAAAGUCCGGGGGCUCAACUCCGGAUCUGCGGUGGGGUACGGGGCAGACUAGAGUGAUGUAGGGGGAGACUGGAAUUCCUGGUGUAGCGGUGAAAAUGCGCAGAUAUCAGGAGGAACACCGGUGGCGAAGGCGGGGUCUCUGGG